rnacentral:rRNA from 1 species
UCGAGAAUUUUUCACAAUGGGCGAAAGCCUGAUGGAGCGACGCCGCGUGGGGGAUGAAGGGCUUCGGCUCGUAAACCCCUGUCAUUCGAGAACAAACCCUGCGAUUAAAUAGAUCGCGGGCUGAUAGUAUCGGAAGAGGAAGGGACGGCUAACUCUGUGCCAGCAGCCGCGGUAAUACAGAGGUCCCAAGCGUUGUUCGGAUUUACUGGGCGUAAAGGGUGCGUAGGCGGCGAGGGAAGUUCGGGGUGAAAUCUCCAGGCUCAACUUGGAAAAUGCCUUGAAGACUCCCUUGCUAGAGGAUCGCAGAGGAGACUGGAAUUCUCGGUGUAGCAGUGAAAUGCGUAGAUAUCGAGAGGAACACCAGUGGCGAAAGCGGGUCUCUAGGCGAUACCUGACGCUGAGGCACGAAAGCCAGGGGAGCAAACGGGAUUAGAUACCCCGGUAGUCCUGGCCCUAAACGGUGCGCACUUGCUGUGAGCAGAUUUAAAACCUGUUCGUGG